ACCUGGUGAAGCAGCACGCGACUCUCACUCCGCUCCUGAAUUUUUCAGUAUUUAGAUUACCUGCAGCAGCAUUGUUGAAGAUUUGUCGGAGCACCUCAGACAGGAGUGUAACGUAAAAACCAAGCAGUUUGAAGAAACAAUAAUUGGAGGAUACCUUACUGUUGCAGACCACCUGCUGAAGACCAUUUCAUACAGCUGUUUGGACUCUCAUUCUGACGGCAC